AGAAGAGAAGGAAGACAUGCAGAUCUUCGUCAAGAACGCCGCCGGCCGCUCGGUGGCUGUGCGCGUGUCCGCCGAGGACACCGUCGCCUCCCUCAAGGCACAGGCCAACGUGACGCAGGGCAACCUCUUCUUCGCGGGCAUGUGCCUCGCUGAGGAGGAGACGCUCGCCGCUUACGGUCUGUCCAGGGAGUCCACCGUCGACGUUGUCAUCCCGGUGGAGGGUGGUAAGGGCAAGAAGAAGAAGAAGCGCAUCUUCACGAAGCCGAAGAAGCCGACGCACCGCCACAAGCUGGAGAAGAUGCGCGCGCUCAAGUACUUCAAGGUGACAGAGAACGACGACGGCUCCUACAAGGUGGAGCGCACGCGCCAAGACUGCCCGCACCCCCAGUGCGGUGCCGGCGUGUACAUGGCCCAGCACAAGGACCGUCAGUACUGCGGCAAGUGCCACUUGACCUACAAGGCGGAGAGCAAGUAAAGCUGAGGCGUAGUGCAUGCGCCGACGCUCCCACGCGUGCAUGUAUGUGUGCCAGGCGGAAUCCUUCUCUUUUUCCUCUAUAGUUUCUUAUUCUCCUUUUUUUUUACUUUCGCUGCCUUCCGUAGUGGCGCAUGCCACUUGUCUUUCAACAAGGAAGGGAUGCACUCACUGCGUUAUCGGCCACCUGCAAGUAGAAAGGACAGGAAUAGAGAGAGUGCGUGAAUGGGCUUGUGGAGCGAGAAGAUAGUGGCUUGCGCGUGCGAAGUGCACCUGCGAUCCCCCCUCUCCUCUCUCUUCUCUCCUGCCACCUCGUCCCCCCGCCGUUUGGCGCUGUUUCGCUGCUGUGCACGCUGUGGAACAGUGACGCACGACGAUGGCAAGGGUUGUCUCACCCACUCCGCAGGCAAGGUGCAGCGAGCGCGCGUUGGUGUUUUAAGGCCAUGAGAGAGGAAGGACAGGUCAGCUGGAGGAGGGUGUGUGUGCGCGCUCC
rnacentral:misc_RNA from 1 species